AAGAGAGUACACCAGUACUAUAUACCCUAGAAGAGAUGAGAUGUUUUCAUGACAGAACUUGUAACUUUGUGAUUAAUUCAAGCAACCAUAUGGAUGUACAUAUUAGUCAAAAUAAACAGAUAGCUAACUGAAUAUUUUAAACUAGCUAGAUUUUUUUUAUUUGGGUGGGGAAGUAACAUAACAUAAAAACCGGUAGCCAUUCAAAGAAAGAAAAGAGUACAAAAGUGGCUACGAACCUAAAUUUUCGCAGUGCCUGUGGGUGCUGUGUUUCUCAUGUUCGGCGAGUGGCGAUUCUCAUUAUUUUUGGGGAAUUGUUGGACCAAGACCAAACCCAUUCAUUUGUCUUCAAUCCAACGAGUUAGACCAUUCAAUCGGCUGUUAGUAUACGGCACGUCGACACCCUUUGUUUAGAUGAAACGACAAACUGCCCUAUAUCUUUCAGAUAGGAUGGUCCAAAAGUCAGAGUCUUUGCCCAAAAAUACAAAGCAUGUGUAAAAGCAAGGUGUG
rnacentral:lncRNA from 1 species